rnacentral:lncRNA from 12 species
UACAGGAAACCUUGAAACGGGGCUUUUCAUUUCUCUUCAUUCAGGCUUGUCCCUGUUGGGAGCCCAUUCCUGGCUCCUGGACUGGUGGUGUGGAGGGCUGGGGCUCCCCUUAGUGUACAGAUGCUGUUGAGCAGAGCUGUUUUCCAGUGUUAUGCACUUGAAGUAGCAUGUCAGAAGUGAUGGAAAUACAAUGAGAGGGCCAGCAAACAGAAGGCUGCAGGGAGGCAGGCAAUA